CGAGGUUGUAGCUCAGUGGUAGAGCGCCCGGGAUACCGGGAGGUCGGGGGUUCGAUUCCCUUCAACUUAACCA
rnacentral:tRNA from 1 species